rnacentral:rRNA from 1 species
CUUUUUUUGAGCGUGGACUUUUUUAGAUGCUUUUAAUUGGAUGCGGGGCUGGCGGCGGGCUCCCAGCGGGCGAGGGAGCGCGGGGACAACGAGGGAGGAGCUAGGGCUAGACCUAGCUCCCCUGCUCCUCGAGGACGGAGGGGCUCUGGGGCUGCCGGCCGGAGGAGGAGCGGGGCGGCGACGCAGGCCGCGGCGGUGCCGGAGACCUCGGUCCCUUCGGUACCGGACUCGAGCCGGAGCUCCAGGGGCGGCGGCAGAGGACGUCGAAGACGGGGCGGCGGAGUGGCGGGCUCGAGCGGCAGCGCGGCGGCGGCCGAGACCAGCGGAGGUGGAGGCGAGGUCCGUUGGGAGCCAGCGGCCGAGCGACCUCGUGCUGCCGUCUGCUACCUACGGACCAACACACGCUGCCUACGUCAAGAGUGCGCGUUCGAUCCCAACCUCGGCGGUCGAGAAGUAGGACGGGCGGCCGCCGCUCAGAAGGGCAGGGCAUGACGGCGGAGGGGCAAUAGUGUCCAAGUAGACCAGGAAAUGAGGAGUGUAUUAUUGACACUUUGAAUUACUCCUUGAAGACUUUUUACGAGGGAGGGGAGACUACAGAUAAACCAAUGAAUACGAACACACCAGACCAACAAGGAUUCACGAAAGCCUGUAAUAAUAAACACACUAGUCGUAACUCAUCUAACGGACGUCGUUCUAUUGAACUCAAAAAAAUGAAUUCAUUUGCUAUACAUUUAUCGAGAUUCAAUUGACCUGUAAAACAGCGUAACCGAACUUAGACGUACAACGUAGUAAACACGUGUUACUUUUGACAUACUUGGACGUAACCUACCACAUAAACAUCCUUCCAAUAGGAAAGAAGUUCCUGACCUUCAAAGGACCAUUCACAAGGAAAAAGAAUUUUUGAGACACAAACAAGCGACAUUAUAAAACAAAUGUAGUCCAAAGAGAGAGGAAAACACCCGUAUUACCCGCUCUGUUAUUAUAAGUCUUUCAACAACAAAAUCCCUUUGACGAUUGAGGUAUACAGUCUGGGUAUAGUAACAACUCGUACGUAUCACAAGGAUACAGUAAAGAUACUACAUAAACAAAGGAAAAUAUAGUGUCAUCAGAAGUAAAACCGGUACAUGGAAGUUUGACUUGGUUUUUACCAAACAGACUACUGUACAAACUCCUCUAAGAACUAUACUUUGUCAUCUAUACUCCCACUGGCAAAAAAAACGUUCAAAACAGGCACCUUAGAAAAACGUCAACUAUUCUGUACCCGACCUGAAUGAAGGCUAGACGUUAUAAAAGCCAUUUCACUAAGUUCCUUUGUUUGUAGGUGACACAGUUAGUGAGUUCUACCACGUACGUCAAAAGGACUUUCAAUUCAGACUCUCGGACGAGGAUGUAUUUCGACCCACUGCCCUGCUGCCGGUUAAAGACCCUCCUGUUUACCAACGGCCCACCCGCAAGGCAAAUUCUGGACCGCGGUUGUGACGAGUGAAAACACGGGUUCUCGUGUUGAUCAGUAGAUACCAAACCUACCCCGACCCAAGGAUGUUGCUGCCGUUGUCUCCGCUGUUUGUGGUGAAACGUUGCAGCGGCUUGACACAACGACUUGACUUCAAAUCCCUGUCGUCGUCAAAAUGGUGGCUACCACAACGUACAUUCGACCUACAAGAGUAACAAGACAACCGAGACUAGCCACACAUACGAUACUUCAAUUCCAAGAAUUCUAAUUACUACAAAUAUCUUCACUACGUCCUACACUCCAUGUUGAUAGUUUCACUGUAAUUAAAACCAAGACUAAGGAUAGGCGUCGGAGAAGAUGUGAUCUCUUCCUUUUGUGAGCUGCUAGACCGAGACAGAGUCCAUAUACGAGGGAGCGGGCGUUCUAGGCGAGAGAGGGUAGAUGCGUAGCGUUGUCGUGAAGUCGAGGAGAACACCUAAGAGUGGUCUAGUCCGGUGGAGUGAGUGGAAGUCAGACAGCACUACCUGUUUCAAUUCUAGGGUUGUUUUUCACGAAGAACUACGAUACUACGUCGUUGAAUUGGAAGGUUUAAUGUCAAAUGAUUUGUCUGGAGCGGCCGUCUAGGGAGUCGAUAGUCCCUUCCGUCGGUAGUCGCCUCUAACUCCCGCGGAGAGGCCGCUCUCACGAGUACAGCACCACCAAAAGGUGGUCGUCGCACCCCCUCCGCCACAGGAGACGUCGAUCCAGAUGAAUGACCGCUGGAGUGGUAGUGGUCGGGUGGACGUCUCGUAAACAUUUCCCGUCAACUAGAAGAGUAACCAAAGUAACCGCAACAUACGUUCCAGAGUUUUCCAGACGACAAGGACCUACUAUCGACGUAUACUCCUACAUGCUUCCUAAACCGACGCUUGAGUUAGUCUGGUAACCUAACUUCGACUUCCCCCGUAACGUUUCUAUGCUUCCUUACCGGAAAGCAAGUAUUGGACCAGUCGAUGUGUUGUAGACCAGCAUGUACAAAGACAACGUCGCCGGGUCAAUGCACCUCUUCUUACCGUAUGCGACUCCUAACACAGUCGACUAAAAGAUUGAGUACCUAAGAGUAAAUAGAGAAGUUAAAUGUGUUCCUCCACGUAAUAGUCGAGAAUACAUAAAAGAAUUAUUGGCAACUAUCCUUACUGUUGAUACAACUCUACACCAUCUGGUAACUUACUGAAAACCAGGUCUUACUUUUUAUCUCCGUAUUAAUAACAUUAAAACAACGACGAUUAAAGAAAGUUUGCUUCGUACCGAAGAUUAGGUGUUUAGUGCGAUUGAUUACAAGUAGUGAAGUAUUGCGGAUAUUCUUCAUAGAGAGGAAUAGAUGGAAGGAAGGAUUAUCGUAACAUUUAUAAGAUAGUAUUCGAAGAAUCUUGUAAUACAUAGUACUUAUUAGGUACACAAGGAUAAACGGG